rnacentral:rRNA from 1 species
CAGUAGCCGCGGGAAUACCAGCAGCCCAAGUGGUGGUCGCGAUUAUUGGGCCAAAAGCGCUCGUAGCCGGGCCGGUAAGUCCCUUGUGAAAUCGGACGGCCUAACCGUUCGGCGUGCAAGGGAUACUGUCGGUCUUGAGGCCGGGAGACGUCCGAGGUACUCCGGGGGUAGCGGUGAAAUGUUCUGAUCCUCGGGGGACCACCGGUGGCGAAGGCGUUCGACGAGAACGGGCCUGACGGUGAGGGGCGAAGGCUAGGGGAGCAAACGGGAUUAGAUACCCCCGUAGUCCCUGUCUCUUAUU